UACGGAGGGUGCGAGCGUUGUCCGGAUUUAUUGGGUUUAAAGGGUGCGUAGGCGGCUUUAUAAGUCAGGGGUGAAAGCCGGUAGCUUAACUGGCGAGGUGCGUUUGAUACUGUAGAGCUUGAGUCCAGAUGAGGUAGGCGGAAUUGAUGGUGUAGCGGUGAAAUGCAUAGAUACCAUCAGGAACACCGAUUGCGAAGGCAGCUUACUGGGCUGUAACUGACGCUGAGGCACGAAAGUGCGGGGAGCAAACAGG
rnacentral:rRNA from 1 species